GUUCCAUCUCCCUGUGACCAGAGUAUUGUACCACAAUCCCAGUUGUUUGCAAUAAAUGGCUUGUCUUGAUUUUCCAGAUUAUAGCUAGAAGAUUGCCUCAAACGAUGAAUUGUAGAAUGGAGCAGGAUGUCUGUGUGUCUGCGUCUUCACCCGGGUUUUUCAGGCCACUGUGUCUGUGAACUUAGCUCUAUGAAAGCAAGAAGCCUAUGAGAAUUCCGCCAGGGGCAAGCCUGGCCUUGGCGCUUCACUGUCUUAGCGUGUGUCUGGCCCUCCCAUUCCUGGCCAAGGCCCACAGCCACCACAGAUGACCUGCUGAUGCCUCUGCUGAAAUCCGUGGCCACUGGCCAACAGCUUGACAAGAGUGUCAGCUCCCUCCCGAGACGAAAUCAGAGGAAAACGCCUCUAGUUUCUAAGAAGCACACAGGGAGCCACUUCUUUACCGCUAGCUCCUGCAGGAUCUGUGGGAUCCUGCAGGUGCUGGUUUGCCUCCUGAGCCCUGUCCUAAGGACACUCUGCACAUCGCCUCCUGUAUUCUCAGCAAGCUUUGUCCCCGCCUUCUGCAAAAGCUGUCUUGCUGGUCAGCAGUGACAUCCAUGCUGCUAAAGCCAGUGGAAAUGCUGGGCCUCAUCUUCCUAGAAGCUGCACUUGACCAUGGCCUCCCCAGGCUCUCGUGCCCGCGUUCAGCCCUCACCACCUACCUCUGUGUCCUGAUCAGCUCCCAGGCCAGUACCUCAUCAUCGUGAGUCUGUUCUACAUGAGAGUCCCGCACCGUCUGAAUGCGCUGUGUCUGGCCUGGAUGCUGCACCCUGAUUCCUCAGGGUAACAGUCAUUCACCUUUGGCUGCUCAGCCUCCAAGCCACACGCCAUGGUCAGCCUCGGCCACUAUCACAGCUGGUCCUGGAGGCUGCAGGGCUCCCUCUCUUGGACCCAGUACUCCCACUACUCCCUCCCCAACUGAUAUGGUUUGGCUGUGUCUCCAUCCAAGUCUCAUCUUAAAUUGUAGUUCCCAAAAAUUGCACGUGUUGUGGGAGGGAGUUGUGGGAGAUAAUUUAAUCCUGGGGGGCGGUUUUCCCCAUACUGUUCUCGUGUUAGUGAAUAAGUCUCACCAGAUGUGGUGAUUUCAUAAGUGGUCUCCCCUUUUGCUUGGUUUUCAUUCUCUCUCGUCUGCGCCAUGUAAGAUGUGCCUUUGGCUUUCCACCAUGAUUUUGAGGCCUCCCCAGCCACGUGGAGCUGUGAGUUAAUUAAAUCUCUUUUUUUUAAAUAAA
rnacentral:lncRNA from 1 species